GACGAACGCUGGCGGCGUGCCUAAUACAUGCAAGUAGAACGCUGAAGAGAGGAGCUUGCUCUUCUUGGAUGAGUUGCGAACGGGUGAGUAACGCGUAGGUAACCUGCCUUGUAGCGGGGGAUAACUAUUGGAAACGAUAGCUAAUACCGCAUAACAAUGGAUGACACAUGUCAUUUAUUUGAAAGGGGCAAUUGCUCCACUACAAGAUGGACCUGCGUUGUACUAGCUAGUAGGUGAGGUAAUGGCUCACCUAGGCGACGAUACAUAGCCGACCUGAGAGGGGGAUCGGCCACACUGGGAAUGAGACACGGCCCAGACUCCUACGGGAGGCAGCAGUAGGGAAUCUUCGGCAAUGGGGGCAACCCUGACCGAGCAACGCCGCGUGAGGGAAGAAGGUUUUCGGAUCGUAAAGCUCUGUUGUAAGUCAAGAACGGGUGUGAGAGUGGAAAGUUCACACUGUGACGGUAGCUUACCAGAAAGGGACGGCUAACUACGUG
rnacentral:rRNA from 1 species